ACCCAUAUAACAAUAACCGGCGGAAAUCUUAUCUUAUUAAUCCUCUCGAGGACCGAAAAAGCCUCAAGUUCAAAAAAGCAAGAAAAAUGCAAAAUAAAGAAAAUCAAAUACAAACAUGAUCAUCAGAGUGUUUAUAAUGAACUCUGUGAUGAUAAUACACUGAGAACUACUAAUGUGAUGGUAAAGAAAGAGGAUAGGUUACUUUCUUUUCUCCAUAUCUGUGAACAAUUUUCUCAAUAUGGCUUUAAAAUUCACGCUUGUUCCUCGAGCGAUUAGGCUUUGUAACAGAUGGUUGCAUGACUUGUUUUUGCUUUGCGAUUCUCAUCGGGGGUCUCCGAAUGUUAGCAUCUUCACACAUCCUGCCAUCACCACUUCUAUCUCUUUCACGAGAUUUCUUACUUGUUUUACUAUGAAUUUGUGAUAAAUCUCCAUUUCUUGAUGCUUCUGCUCGACAAUGCGAUAAGAUAUCUUUUUCCUCCCCUUCUUCAUAUAUAUGUCUU
rnacentral:lncRNA from 1 species